rnacentral:tRNA from 12 species
UAGCACAGUGGUUAGGACGCUAGGCUUAGGAUCCUACGGUCCGGGAUUAAAUCCGG